rnacentral:piRNA from 1 species
UGGACAAUAAUCGGGCCUCUGUUUUGC